UAACUUAAGAGUUUGAUUAUGGCUCAGAACGAACGCUGGCGGCAUGCCUCAUACAUGCAAGUCGAACGAGAUCUUCGGAUCUAGUGGCGCACGGGUGAGUAACAUGUGGGAAUCUACCUGAAGGUUCGGAAUAACUGCGGGAAACUGUAGCUAAUACCGGAUGUGUCUGCAAAGAGAAAGAUUUAUCGCCUUCAGAUGAGCCCGCACUAGAUUAGCUAGUUGGUGAGGUAAUUGCUCCACCAAGGCUACGAUCUAUAGCUGAUUUGAGAGGAUGAUCAGCCACACUGGGACUGAGACACGGCCCAGACUCCUACGGGAGGCAGCAGUAGGGAAUAUUGGACAAUGGGGGAAACCCUGAUCCAGCAAUGCCGCGUGAGUGAAGAAGGCCUUCGGGUUGUAAAGCUCUUUCAUCAAUGAUGAUAAUGACAUUAGUUGAAGAAGAAGCCCCGGCUAACUUCGUGCCAGCAGCCGCGGUAAUACGAAGGGGGCUAGCGUUGUUCGGAAUCACUGGGCGUAAAGCGUAUGUAGGCGGAUCAAAAAGUUAGAUGUGAAAUCCCUGGGCUCAACCCAGGAACUGCAUUUAAAACUAGUGAUCUAGAAUUUGGUAGGGGUUAGUAGAAUUUCCAGUGUAGAGGUGAAAUUCGUAGAUAUUGGAAAGAAUACCAGUGGCGAAGGCGACUAACUGGGCCAUUUUUGACGCUGAGAUACGAAAGCGUGGGUAGCAAACAGGAUUAGAUACCCUGGUAGUCCACGCAGUAAACGAUGAGUGCUAGUCGCUGGGACAAUAGUUUCAGUGUCGAAGCUAACGCAUUAAGCACUCCGCCUGGGAAGUACGGUCGCAAGAUUAAAACUCAAAUAAAUUGACGGGGGCCCGCACAAGCGGUGGAGCAUGUGGUUUAAUUCGAAGCAACGCGAAGAACCUUACCAGACCUUGACAUGGUAUGUUUGAAUUACAGAAUCGUAAUUCUUCAGUUCGGCUGGCAUACACACAGGUGCUGCAUGGCUGUCGUCAGCUCGUGUCGUGAGAUGUUGGGUUAAGUCCCGCAACGAGCGCAACCCUCAUUUUUAGUUGCCAGCAGGUUAAGCUGGGCACUCUAAAAAAACUGCCGGUGAUAAGCUGGAGGAAGGCGGGGAUGACGUCAAGUCCUCAUGGCCCUUACGGUCUGGGCUACACACGUGCUACAAUGGUGGUGACAGUGGGCAGCAAUACUGCAAAGUAAAGCUAAUCCCAAAAAACCAUCUCAGUUCGGAUUGGACUCUGCAACUCGAGUCCAUGAAGUUGGAAUCGCUAGUAAUCGUAGAUCAGCGUGCUACGGUGAAUACGUUCUCGGGCCUUGUACACACCGCCCGUCACGCCAUGGGAGUUGGUUUUACCUUAAGCCGGUGCGCUAACCGUAAGGAGGCAGCCGUCCACGGUAGGGUCAGUAACUGGGGCGAAGUCGUAACAAGGUAACCGUAGGGGAACCUGCGGUUGGAUCACCUCCUUU
rnacentral:rRNA from 1 species